rnacentral:rRNA from 1 species
UACGUAGGGGGCGAGCGUUGUCCGGAAUUACUGGGCGUAAAGCGCGCGUAGGCGGCUUGGUAAGUCGGUUGUGGAAGCCUCGAGCUCAACUCGGGAACGGCGACCGAAACUACCAGGCUCGAGUACGGUAGGGGAUGCUGGAAUUCCUGGUGUAGCGGUGAAAUGCAUAGAUAUCAGGAGGAACACCGGUGGCGAAGGCGGGCAUCUGGGCCGUUACUGACGCUGAGGCGCGAAAGCUAGGGGAGCAAACCGG